CGUCGUGAAUGGUCGGGAUAGCUCAGCUGGUAGAGCAGAGGAUUGAAAAUCCUCGUGUCACCAGUUCAAAUCUGGUUCCUGGCAC
rnacentral:tRNA from 1 species